UUUAUCAUUGUUCUUGUGAAUUAGACCUUCAUAUCAAAUGUGCUUUGUUUUCAUAUAACAUUGCUGAAAAAAGAAUUGGAGAGAUUCAACAAAUUUCCACCAUGGAUCCAUUGAUCUCUAAGGAAAAUGGUGAUGAAGAACUCGAAGGAGCUGAGUGCUUUGCAUGUUGGAAGCCAUUACUAGAUUCUGUGUAUUUAUCUCCUGAUUGUGGAUUUUACCUACAUGCCAAAUGUUUAGAUCCAUGUGCAGUCAAUCACCUUCCCCUCCAUGAACAUCCUCUUAUUUUACAGUUUAAUAGUGAACGUCUCUCUUGCAAGAUAUGCCAAGAAACCCAACGUAGGGGAUUUGUUUAUUGUUGUUCAAUUUGCAAGUUUGCUCUUCACAUUGAAUGCGGGUCACCACCACCAAUUAUUGAAGAUAUAAGUCAUCAACACCCUUUCAUCCUAUUUUGGAGACGAGUCCCAUUCAUUUGUGAUGCAUGUGGCUCCGAAGGGAAUUAUGUAUCCUACAUUUGUUCUACAUGUGGCAUUAUAGUCCAUAGGAAAUGCAUUUCAUUGUCACGCACCCUCAAUCACCCAUGGCAUUUUGAGCACCCCAUUUCCCACACCUAUUUCCUUGGGCAAGAUAAGUUUAAAUCGUGGGAAUGCGGAAUUUGCCAUCUAGAGGAUGUGAAUUCAAAGCAUGGAAGCUAUUAUUGUUCUUAUUGUGAUUAUAUUGUCCAUGUGAAUUGUGCAAUAGAAGAAUAUAAUUGGUACAAUUUUGAUGAGUCAGGAAUAACAGAAGAGAGUCUUGAAGAAAAUUCAGCAUUGCUACCAUAUUCAAUCAUUAAGGAGAUCAAAGAUGGCGAAAAUGUGAUAGUCACUGAGAUAAAACAUUUUAGCCAUCAACACAACUUAAUUUUAAGUAAUGACAUCAAGGGUGACAAAUGUUGUGACGGUUGCGUGUUAUCCAUCUUUACUUCUUAUUACUAUUGUUCACAGUGUAAUUUCUUUCUUCACAAAUCCUGUGCUGAAUUACCAAUGAAGAAACGCUUGUGGCAAAACUCACACAUGAAGCCUCAUCAACUUAUUACUUCUGACGGCAUUUUCACAUGUAAUAUUUGUGAGAAUGAAACUAGUGGUUUUGCCUACACCUGUACUGAAUUCAACUGUUGUUACUGCCUUCGAUGUGCUUUAACAUCCGUUACUCUCAAAUGUCAAGGACAUGAACAUCCCCUCUCCUAUCAAAAGUAUCAAGGGUUGUGUAAAGCUUGUGGUCAGCCUUUCUACUAUGGAUAUGCAUUCAGAUGUAAGAGUUGCGAUUUCUCUUUGCAUAGUAAAUGUAUCGAUCUACCACUGAAAGCUCGACACAAAUCAGAUGUGCAUCAUUUCUCACUCACUUAUCGUGAUAAUAAUAAUUAUUCAGAAUCUCAUUAUUGUGACAUAUGUGAAGAAGAAAGAAAUCCAAACUAUUGGUUUUAUCAUUGUGCAAUAUGUGACAAUUCAGCUCAUCCUAAGUGUGUUCUUCCAAAAUACUCAUUUAUCAAGCUCGGAAGCAUCUACACAAAAGGAGAUCAUCCACAUCCUCUCACUUUUGUCCAAAAGGUUCAUUAUUAUCCAGAAUGCUAUAGCUGUGGUGAGCCUUGCCUUGAUCUAGCUCUUGAAUGUAAAACAAUUGGAUGUAACUACAUUGUCCAUUGGGAGUGUAUAAAACCUUGAUUUUAAUUUCUUUUUUUUCACCAUAGUUAUUGUUGUUGAAACAGUGAUGAGACAAAUAAGCAGUUUGAUGAUGGGACUCAAAAAUACUGCUUUGCUUGGUUGUUUCUAAACUAUUUGCAAUUGUUCUGUGUUAGUAUUUGUCUCCUUGUUUGGGUUAUUAUCAUUUGAGAAUUUUCAAAAUUCUGGCUUCAUAGAGGUAAUGUAACUGGAAUUAGUUUAUGAUAUUUGUAUUUCAUAUUUGAACACUGGAAGAUCACUUGGUAUCUGUAAGGUUCUCUACUUUUCAACUCAGUCAAAUGAUUUGCUAUCACUCAAAGACUUUAUUAAAUAUUUUAUCAGAUGUUAUGUGCUAUUUCAAAAAUGCUGAAUUGCCUCUUGAUUAUAUCGAUUUUUAUAGCAGUCUUGCACAUAAAUUUCCUCUUAAUAACAUUCAUUAUGUCCUUUUGUUGGUUCUUUAAUAAUAUUGUAUUCAUUAUGGAUGAAUAUGAAAGUAAUAGAGAGAGAGUACAAUCCAUUUCCUAAUCUUUGCUUGAACUUUUCAAGAAAUUUUGCUUAAACUCCAAUUUAUGUCAAAUUCUCUUUUGAAGAAAUUUCCAUGGUUAAACUAUGAACUUUGAGAAGAAGCUUUGAUUAAUGUAACAAGAGAUAAUUCUAUUUUAUAAAAUUAUUUUACUUCAAUUUUGUUAUUAAAUAUUAGUUAAGUCUUCAAUUUUCAAUUAUAAUUUAAUUAUUUUUAGUUGUUUUUAUAAUUAAGUUACUUUUUAGUGAGUUAUUUUAAUUUUAUAUUAUUUUUUUAUUUUAGUUAUUAUUUAUUGGUUUUUAUAUUUUUUUUGUAGGAUUAAAAGUGAUUGGGCUUAAUUUUGGAAAGUAAGGUGUUGAAAGACUCAAAAUCUGUUUGUAUAUGUUUCAGUAUUUUGGCCAUAUCUCGAGCUAUAGAACUCCAAAUGAUACGAUUCUUAGACCAUUAGAAAUCUAAGAGACAUGGCUACAACUUUUAUGAAGAUCACUUUGCUCAGUUCUGCUUCGAAGAUAGAGAAAAUCAUGUCGGAAAAUGACUAAAUGUACUGUACCGAGAAUGAAAAAUUGUAAAGAUUGAUAAUUGAUUUUUGGGCCUUUUAGUAUACUUUUAAGCCCAAUUAAACCCUAGGUCAACUUAAAGAACUUUAGGUUAAGCUCAUUAGUAUAAAUAGGAUAUGUUUAACAGCAUUAGGAGACAACUUUUAAGAGACUCAAGAAGUUACAAGUUGAGGUUGAUACUUGGAGAUCAAGGUGAAAAAUAUUGUUUUGUUUUAUUCCUUAGCUUUUAUCGUUCUUGAUACUUUCAAUGGUUGAAUUUUAUACAAUGUUAUUUGUUUUUGCAAUCAUAAGUAGCUAAAUUUCUUUUUCUAUGAUUGCAAUUGAACUCACAUGUAGUCUAAGUUUUUAAUCUUUGUCUUACUUAUUUUUAAUGAGAUUUGAAUUGUUUAUUCCAAUUUGUUCUUAAUACUUUUAAUUGCUUGGCCACCAAUUAAAUUGAUCUAGGAACUUAAACAAACUUGGGAAAUGGAGUUUAGAGUAGACUAAAAUUGGGAUAGCAUAUGAUCAUAUAAAUUGAUUUGCGUAUAGGAUAAGGAUAUAUCUAUAGGCCAUAUGUAGCCAAAUUAGAGCCUGAACUUAAUGAGUCUGUUUUAAUUUCAAUUCACAUAGGGAUAUAGUAUUUUGAUUAAAAUAGAUAUUUUUAUAGGACGAGUUGGGAGACCCUUAUAAAUAAUUGAGAACUCUAGGUUAGCAAUUCAACCCGUAAGAGAGGUAAAAUUUAAAUGAAAUGUGAGGGAUAUUGUAAUCCUAGGCUUGUUUGAUUUGAUAUUUUCUAAAGUUAUUAUUAUUUUGAUUUUUCUUAUUGGUUUUAAUUUUAGUUAAUUAGUUUUAGCUAAUUAAUUAAUUUUGAUUAUUUGGACAAGAUUAAAUUGUUCUAAUUUUAGUACUUAGUAAAGUUUUAGAUCAAUUCCCUAUGAGAUCGAUAUUCUACUUGUUAAUAUACUAUCUAUUCGAUACGUAUACUUAUAUAGUAAAAUUUUAACUAACAACAAGAAAGAUUUAUCAUUAUCUGCUGCAUUAAAUCAUUCUAUAUUAUUAUCAAAGAUGAUAACUAUACACCUAAAGUUGCCUAAGAAACAAGUACAAGAUCAAUGUCUAUAAAGGAAUGAAGAUUUUUACUAAAGAUAUUACAACAAUUGAAUGUCACUGACAUCUUCAUUUGACAGUUAUUAAGAGACAACUCUAGUGCCUUCUGUUCUCUCCUCCAAACAAUCUCCCCUGAAAAAGAAACAUAUUUUAUAACCAAAAAGAAAAUGUAAAAGAAACAGGAAAAUUAACUAAAAGGUUAGCUCUUGAUAAUACAACAACUAAUUAAUUUUGCUUGUGUUUAACGUUUCAUUAAUUAUAAAUUGCUCUUCUUGAUUCAAUGUUCUGUGAUUGAGGGUUAGGCCAUGUUUAAAAUUUUAGGUUCAUUCUUUGUUAAAUCUGCAGGGUAGAUUCCAGAGGUUAAAGAUUUUAUACUUGCGAGUAACAUAAUUGAUUAGAAUUAAACGAAACAAUUCAAACUUUUUUUUUUUGAAAAGCCAAAACAAUUCAAACAUAAUAAACUAAAGUUUAAAAUUUGAGUGAUCUCCCUCUCUAUUCCUAUCUCUCACCCUCUCUCCUCACUCAAACUUAAAACUUUGUUUGAUCAUAUUUGAAAUGUUUAGUUUAAUAAGGUUUCAAAGUGAAUACCAGAGAAGAGAGGAGUUGGAUGUAAUGGAAACCUUGAAGAUAAAGGCCUCGCUGUCUAUAAGAAUGAGAUUGACAACAUCAAAGCCAAAUACACCUAAUGAUACCUAGCUGCCUUGCUAAGCCUUCCAAGCAUCAGAAACAUGUCUAUUGCCUGUUGCAAGCAAGAUAUAGCUGCAAUAUAAUUAAAUAGGAAAAAGAUGAAGAAACCUUCUGGAGAGUGACUUUCGUUAAAGUUAAAUCUACACUUAACCUUAUUGAUGUUUUCUUCCGGUAUUCACAAGCAUCAGCCUAGGCUUCACCUUUCCUCUCUAACUAACCAAUAGCUCUCCAAAGAACAAAAAACAAUUUGAGUUCUGAGUUUCCUCAUUAGCUCACCUGUUUGAGAGAUGGGUGGUUGGGUUGGGACGACUUAGCCUUGGCCAAAGAUGCAGAGGAAGUCCUCAGAGUAAAGAAUGACAACGAAGAGAAUGAAAGCUAACAAGGUGUGGAAGUAAGGAGAGAGAUGUGCCUUCUUAAGAACAGAAGAGGAGGAAGGAGAGAGAAGAGGCUUCAUUUCUUUUCUUUUUCCUUUUUUUCCUUUCGGGUAUGGCCAACUAUAGAUGAAAUUGGGGUUUGAUUUUCGAAAGCUUAUAGUAUUGCUUUAAAUUAAGGAUCAUUUGCAUUAAUGAACAAAUAUAUAAAAGUUUCAAUGUUUCAUUAGGUUUAAAUAUGUUAAUUUUGUAUAUAUAUACAGUUAGCUUAUGUUGGAUAUAUAUGAUUAACUAAUAUGAAAAUUAAUUAAAUAACUAAUUGAAAAAUAAUACAGAGUAUUAAUUUAUUAGGUUUUUGUAAAAAAAUUACUCAUUUUGUUCUUUUUUCUUUGUCCUUUCUUUUCCGAGAUAUAUUAAAAUGGAAUUUCUUUUUUCCUAAUUGUUGGCUGUUAUGUUAAUGUUUUUUAACUGGAAUCCCCAUUGUCAUAUGGUCAGCUAGCUAAUAGUGAUGGAUCAAUUAAAAGAGUUUACAUAUAUAUAUCUAUAUAUAUAUAUAUCUAUAUAUAAUAUUUGUCNAUUAUAUUUAUGUACCUAAUUAAUGAUUGUAGUUAGUUGUCUAUAUAUGGAUUUUAAUUGGUUUGUUUAAUUUCCUUGUUUUGAUUGUCUUUUAACCCAUUGCAUUGAAUUAAGAACUUGCAACAUAUUUUUUUUUAUAAUAUAUAAUUUUUAGGUGAAUUUCAUUUUUUUUAUAAACAAUAACCUCAUGUCUUGAUUCUCCAUGCAUGUAUAAAUAUUCUAUGGUUGGUACUUAUUAUAAAAUGCAUUGACUCCCAAAAUUUUCUUAUAAAUUUUAAGACAAAUGGGGCUAAUCAAACAUAAAUAUAGCUAACAAACUACACAAUCAUUGCUUAAUUAUUUAGUAUUUUCUUCCUAACAUGAUUCAUGUUCCAUUUCUCACUAAAAUCUUUGUUUUCCUUUUUUUUCUUCACCGGGCAGCCCAAGUUUUAGAAUUUUGCUGAAAGUCUUCACCUCACGUCUUCACUAGGUUUGGUUGGAGUUAAGGCCCAAAUCAAUCUAGAAAGGUUCAUUCAGCCUGGGCCUAAAGCCCAUGUAAAUACAUCAAACAUUCUUCAUAUGGGCUGAAGGAAGCCCUAUAGAAGGAUCCGAAUUUCAACAACCAACCAGCCACUCGAAGCUUGACCAAUGUCAUUUCACAUAAAUUUCCUCUUAAAAACAUCCAUUAUGUUCUUCAAUCUAAUGAUGGAUGAAUCUGAAGGUAAUAGAAAGGAUUCAAUCCAUUUCCCAAUCUUUGCUUUGAACUUUCCAAGGAAUUUUGCUUAAACUCCACUAGAUCAAGCAAAGAAAAAGCAAACAAAAAAUUCAGAAUCAAACUAUUCACAAGUUAAAUCUUUACUCAUAAGCAAAACUUAACUAAACUGUAAACUCUGGACCAAAUUCUCUUUUGAAGAACUUUCCAUGGUUAAACUAUGAACCUUGAGAAGAAGCUAUGACUAGUGUCAUUGACUUCUUCAUUUGGCUUGGAAAACGGUUCACAUUGUCGAAAAAAUCAUGAGCAAUGAGAAGAUGAAGAAAAAGAUUAAGAGGCCGAAGAAAGGCAGAGUCAUGUGGUGUAUAAAUUGGAAACAAGAGUGGUAGUUGGCCAAAAAAAAAAUUUCUUGGAUUUAAUUAAUGAUAGUAGUUGGUGGACUUUAUAUUUAAUUAAUUCAUUUCUUGAAUUACGAUUAACUUUUUUUUGUCCUCUAACUUGUUCUGUAAUCUUAUGUAUUAAAUUAUUUUAUGCAAUUUUACACAUUUUAUAUGAGAGUUAGGUGAUAAUUUAUUUUGUAAAGAGUUAACCUCUUGUCUUGAUUGAUCUCCAUAUAAAUAAAAUAUUUAAUGCUUGGUCCAUGGACUAUUUUAUUCCCAACAUAAAAUAGUAUAAAUGUAAGACAAGUUGUGCUAAUUAAACAUGAAUGUUGCUGUCUAUACCAAACACUACUAUUAAUUACAUAAUCAUUACUAGGCUGUUAAGGCUUUAAUUAUUUAUUUUCUUUCUAAGAGGAUUUAUGUUCUAAGUUAGGACCGCCUCUAGAUCACUUGUUUUCUUGUUUACGGAAACGAGAAGAAAUGAGAGAUGGAGCUGCUUCAACAUUUUAGCCAUGAACAUCCGCUGAUUUUCAAUGAAGAGCAAGGCCAUGAAAGUGAGGAGCAGGCUUAUUGCUCAGGAUGUGGGGAGCUGGUGUCGGGUCCAAGCUUCAGCUGUGUGGAGUGUGGGUUUUACCUUGACAAGAAGUGCGCCGAGGCACCUUCACAGCUGAAUCACCCCUUUCAUCAUAACCACAGCCUUAAUCUUCUAGCAAGCUCGCCAUAUGAUGCAAGUCUGUCUGUUAUUUGUGAUUUCUGUGACGAAAUAUGUGACAGGUUUGUUUAUCAUUGUUCUUGUGAAUUAGACCUUCAUAUCAAAUGUGCUUUGUUUUCAUAUAACAUUGCUGAAAAAAGAAUUGGAGAGAUUCAACAAAUUUCCACCAUGGAUCCAUUGAUCUCUAAGGAAAAUGGUGAUGAAGAACUCGAAGGAGCUGAGUGCUUUGCAUGUUGGAAGCCAUUACUAGAUUCUGUGUAUUUAUCUCCUGAUUGUGGAUUUUACCUACAUGCCAAAUGUUUAGAUCCAUGUGCAGUCAAUCACCUUCCCCUCCAUGAACAUCCUCUUAUUUUACAGUUUAACAGUGAACUUCUCUAUUGCAAGAUAUGCCAAGAAACCCAACGUAGGGGAUUUGUUUAUUGUUGUUCAAUUUGCAAGUUUGCUCUUCACAUUGAAUGCGGGUCACCACCACCAAUUAUUGAAGAUAAAAGUCACCAACACCCUUUUGUCUUAUUUUGUAGACGUGUCUCAUUUAUUUGUGAUGCAUGUGGCACUGAAGGGAAUUAUGUAUCCUACAUUUGUUCUACAUGUGGCGUUAUAGUUCAUAGAAAAUGUAUUUCAUUGCCACGCACCCUCAAACACCCAAGGCAUUUUGAGCACCCUAUUUCCCACACCUAUUUCCUUGGGCAAGAUAAGUUUAAAUUGUCGGAAUGCAGAAUUUGCCAUAUAGAGGAUGUGAAUUCAAAGCAUGGAAGCUACUCUUGUUUAGAUUGCGAUUAUAUUGUCCAUGUGAAUUGUGCAAUAGAAGAUUAUAAGUGGUACAAAUUUGACGAGUUAGAUGAGAAUGUUGAAGAAAAUUCAGAAUUGCAACCAUAUGCUGUUGUUGAGGAGACUAAAGAUGGAGAAAAUGUGAUAGCUAUCGAGAUAAAACAUUUUAGCCAUCAACACAACUUAAUCUUUAGCAAUGAGAUCAAGGAUGAUAAAUGUUGUGACGGUUGCGUGCUAUCCAUCUCUACUUCUUAUUAUUAUUGUUCACUGUGUAAUUUCUUUCUCCACAAAUCCUGUGCUGAAUUACCAAGAAAGAAGCAUCUCUGGUUUCACGAUCACCCAAAGCUUCAUCCACUUACUUCAGGCUACAUUUUCCGAUGUGUAAUUUGUGAGUGUGAAACUAGUGGUUUUGCCUACACUUGUGCUAAAUGCAAGGACUACUUUUGCCUUCGAUGUGCUGUAUUUUCUGAUAGCCACAAGUGUCAAGGACAUGAACACGUCCUCCCUUUUUAUGAAGAUUAUCAAGGGUUGUGUAAUGCCUGUGGUGAGUCUACAACAUGUGCAUACAGAUGCAAGAAAUGUGAUUUCUCUUUGCAUGAUACAUGUAUCAAAUUACCACUUAAAGCUCAACACAAAUCUGAUGUGCAUCACUUCACACUCACUUAUCAUGAUGGUAAUAAUUAUUCAGAAUCUCAUUAUUGUGAUAUUUGUGAAGAAGAAAGAAAUCCAAACCAUUGGUUUUAUUAUUGUGCAAAAUGUGACAAUUCAGCUCAUCCCAACUGCCUUCUUGAAAAAUACUCAUUUAUCAAGCUUGGGAGCAUCUACACAAAAGGAGAUCAUUCACACCCUCUCACUUUUGUCCAGAAGGUUCAUUAUUAUCCAAAAUGCCAUGAUUGUGGUGAGCCCUGCCUUGAUCUAGCUCUUGAAUGCAGAACAAUUGGAUCCAACUAUAUUGUUCAUUGGGAAUGUAUAAAAUAUCAAAAAGUUGGAAGAUAAAAAUAUUAUUGUUUGCCAAAAUAAUUAUUGUUGUUCAAGCAGCGAUGAGACAAAUAAGCAGUUUGAUGAUGGCACUGAAAUAUGCUGCUUUGCAUGGUUGUUCCUAAACUAUUUGUAAUUAUUCUGUGUUAAGUAUUUGUGUCCUUAUUUGGUUAUCGUCAUAUGAGAAUUUCCAAAAUUCUGACUUGAUAGAGGUAAUGUAAUUAGAAUUAGUUUAUGAUAUUUCUAUUACAUAUUUGAGCAUUGGAAGAUUGCUUGGUAUCUAUAAAGUUCUCUAUUUUUCAACUCAAUCAAUUGAUUUGCUAUUACUAUGAUGUGUUUAUUAUAGUUUAUUAGAUGUUAUGCACUAUUACAUGCUUCAAAAAUGCUGAACUUCCUCUUUGAUUAUAUUAAUUUGUACAGUAGUUUUGCACAUAAAUUUCCUCUUUAAAAACAUCCAUUAUGUUCUUUUGUUGAUUCUUCAAUAAUAUUGUAUACAUGCUCGUUUUCUCAUGAUGGAUGAAUCUAAGAGUAAUAGAAAGAGUCCAAUCCAUUUCUUAAUCUUUCCAAAAAUUCAUAACUCUUUUCAAAAGUCAAAAGAUUUGCAAGUUUCAUCUUCACUCAUAAGCAAAACUUGACUAAACUCUAAACCAAAUUUUAUUUUGAAGAAUUUUCCAUGCUUAAACUAUGAAUCUUCAGAAGAAGCUUUGCUUUAUUAAAGAGAUUGCAUUAAAUCAUUCUAUAUUAUUAUCAAAGAUGAUAACAAUGCACAGAAAUUUGCCUAAGAAACAACUACAAGAUCAAUGUAUAAAGGAAUGAAAUUUAGCAACAAGCAGACAACUUGAGAGGAAAAACUUACUUCUAUACCACGAGCUCCCAAGGGAAAAAAUUUAUAUUUUUGCUAAUCUUUAUGACUGCAAAUAUAAAGAAUUUUCCUUUCCUGAUUCUACAUUAAUGUUCAAUUUCCUUCUUCAACUCUUAAGAAUCAUGUUACAUUCUUAGAUGUGAUAUAAAAUGUCCAUGAAUAAGGCAAUAUGUUCGAUGUUUAGAUGGGCUUAAACACUUUAAAAUGAUAAGAGAUGGAGAGAUUUGGUGAGUUUAUAAUAAUAAGAUUUUGCUAACCUUGUCCUAAAAACACUUUUUAAGAUUACGAAAUUAAAUAAAAUUUUUAAUCUCAAUGUAUUAAAAUUAUUACAUUAACUAUCAAUUAGAUUCAAUGUAUGGUUUUUUAGAUUGUAGAUUUUUUUUUCUUUUUGUGCAGCUUAUACUUUGGAUGUGCUGCUUCUUGAUUAGCUACGCUUUGAGAAUGGUUCUACUUGCUAAUAACCAUGGCUUCCAUUGGUUGCUUACCUUUUUAAAAAAAAUAGCACAAUUGAUUAGAAUAUAAAUGAAACAAUCUAAAGUUUAAAGUUUGAGUGAUCUCUUUCUUCACCUUUCUGUCUCACUUUCCCUCCCACUCAAACUUAAAAUGAAAUGUUUAGUUUAAUAAGGUUCCAAAGUAGCUAUUUAGUCUCAAUUUAAUCAAAACAACUAAACUAAUCAAAAUUCUAAACUAUUUUAGCCUCUGCCUUUAAGACAAAAGCAACAAAAUCAGUACCAUUGAACAUUUUAAUAAAAUAACAAAGACAAUGUGAAUACAAGAUAAGAGAGGGAGGGAUGGGAUGUAAUGGAAAUCUUAAAGAUAAAAGCACUCCUGUCUAUAAGAAAGAGAUUGACAACAUCAAAGAUGAAUAUACCUUAUGAUACCUAGCUUUCUUGUUAAGCUUUACAAGCAUCAAAAACAUAUAAUUUGUAAUCCAAAAUCUCAUGUAAAAAAAAAAAAACCAUUCUAAAAUUUUGAAAGUAAUUACUAAUUCUCCCUCCAAUUGUACGCCAAGAAGAUAAGCAAGAAGGAAAAGAGAAUGAGAAUACUCUUUUGAUUAAAAGGACAGAGAAUGAGAAUGCUUCUUCCAAUUCAGCUUCGAUAUGUGAUUGAGAUUGAUGUUCCUUCGUUUUGCAUUUUGUUUUCUUUUGUUUAUCCUUUUGUUUUGUUUUUUUACUUAGUACUAUUGAUUAUUUCAUCUAAUGCUUCAACUUAGAAGUCGAAAUAAUUGGUCUUUAUAUAAUAAUUCCUGUGGGAUUUAUAUGUUUUCUUUCUUUUUUGUUUUUUAAACAUUUAAAAGCGGGCAUUUUUUUCUAGGUUCGAAGGAAGAGUCAUAGCUUCUGUUUUUGGCAUGUUAUUUGGUUGUUAAUGCUCUGUUUCAUGAAGUUUAUAAGAUCAUAGGUUCUCUAGUUUGGAACAGGUUUCAUUACUCUGAAAUUUAUGUAUAUUGCUCUUAGAAAUAAAUGGUUUUCAUGGAUGGCUUUCUUUGGCCUUUAUAUCUUUCAGGUUGCUUGAGUAUAUUAAUGCUUUAUCUAGUAUUAUUACACAUUUGCAUCCAAUUCAUUUUUGGUAUUUUUUGGGCAUCGUGCCCCUUCUGCUGUUUUUGUUGUAGAAUUUGUAUAUGUCUGCCUCAUUUGGGUUUAAGGAUAAGAGGACUCUGAGAAUAUUUGGGUUCAAAAGCUGUACGAUUGUUUUCCCAUAACAUUUUUUAUUUCUGUUGAUUUCUUUAUUCCAAGUAGACAUGUUAUAUCCACCCUUUGGUGUUCCUUGAAAAAAAAGGCUUGGUUGCUUGGUUCCCUAUUGUUAAUCACAUGAAGUUGUCUUACUUUUCAGAAAAAAAAAAAAGGAAAAGACUAAAGAGAAAGAAAAAGAGAAUAUUGAAGCCAUUCCAAGAGAAAAGGAGCAAGAAAGGGACAAAGAACUGCUAAUUGAACACGAAAAACAAAAGAAAAAAAAGUACAACGUCUAGUGCCCAAUUUAGUUUCGUGGAUCAAUUUAAUUUGGUUAUAGAAACUAAAUAAGUUUAAGAAAAAAAACAUUCUAAAGUUUUGAAAGUAAUUACUAAUGUUCCCUUGAACAAGAAGAAAUGAAAGAAAAGAGAAUGAGAAUACUCUUUUGGUUAAAGGAAAAGACUAAAGAGAAAGAGAAUAUUGAUGAUACCAUUCCAAAGAGAUGAAGGAGCAAGAAAGGGAUAAAGAGCUGAUAAUUAAACAAGAUAAACAAAAGAAAAAAGUCUAUAUCUAUCAUGCAAUUUAGUUUCAUGGAUUUAUUUAAUUUAUCUAACUUGUAAAAAUUGCAAGGAAUAAUUGUAUAUCUGUUGCAAGCUUAGAACCUUACAACUAGGGCCUUGUUAUUUCUUUGAACUAAGAAUCUAAUUAGCAUGCUGCUUAUUUACUUUAGUGGGAAAUUAAAUAGCUUCAAUUGCACAGGAAUUAAAGGCAUUUCUCAAUUCAAUAGAAUAUCUUUGAUUAUUGCUUAUUUUAGAUAACUUUCUAAAAAUUGCUUCCAUUAGAUAAUUAACUAAAAUUUAAGAUUUUGAAAAGAGAAUGAUUAAAUUAACCAUUUAGACCAACAAUCAAUAACAUGUUAUCCUCUUCAUAAGAAUCACCCUUCCAAAAUUUAAAAGAAUAUAUCUAUUUCUUAAUUUAUACCAAUCUUGUCAUGAGUAAAGAGAAAGCAAUGUUUGUAUCGACUGGAACUUGCUUCAUCGAAUCUGGGCAAUGAUUUACUGCUAUUGUAGACUAUGAACCUUUUGUAAAUCAUUCUCUGUUUUUGCAUAUUAAUGAAUAUAACUUUGCUUUUCAAAAAAAAAAAAAAAAAGAAAGCAAUGAAUAUAAGAGAUUACUUUCAAUAAAAAUAAAUUAUGAGUGCAUAUAUAUAUAUAUAUUUUUUCUUUUACUUUUAAAGAGUAACCUUUAGAUGCUCGACCUUUACUCUCCCUCGAAGUUAUGCCAUUCUAAUUUGAUAGUUCUCAUAGAUUUUUUGAGAUAAAAUAGAAAGAAAUAAGUAUUUUUUAAUGUUUUUCGAAAAAGAUAAAUUGUUUCAUUUCAAAAUGUAAUUAUAUAUAUAUGUAUAAUAUUUUAAAUUGAACUUGAGAUGUUGAUGUCUCAUAUUAAGAGAAAGCUUGGGUUCCUAUUGAUUGGUAAUACCAUACACACUUAUACAAUAUGAAAAAAACAGUGCAUAAAUUCUUGGUUUUAAUUACAAAUAUUGUUUAAUUAAUUAAAAAAAUAAAGAUGAAUUUGCUGAAAAUAAAGAAAGAAAACAACAGUAAGAAUUCCUUUCAUUCUAAACAAGUUGCCACUCUCAUAUAAAUAUUUGAACCAUGGACUUAAGCUUCCAUAAAUAACCAUAAACACAUUUUGCUGCUAAUCAACCCACAAACUUACAAAGAAACAAACAGAAAGGAGAGAUGGAGCUGCUUCAGCAUUUUAGCCAUGAACAUCCACUGAUUUUCAGUGAAGAGCAAGGCCAUGAAAGUGAGGAGCAGGCUUAUUGCUCAGGAUGUGGGGAGCUGGUGUUGGGUCCAAGCUUCAGCUGUGUGGAGUGUGGGUUUUACCUUGACAAGAAGUGCGCCGAGGCACCUUCACAGCUGAAUCACCCCUUUCACCGCAACCACAGCCUUAAUCUUCUAGCAAGCUCACCAUAUGAUGCAGGUCCGUUUAUUUGUGAUUUCUGUGGUGAAAUAUGUGACAAGUUUGUUUAUCAUUGUUCUUGUCAUUUAGACCUUCAUAUCAAAUGUGCAUUGUUUUCAUAUAACAUUGCUGAAAAAAGAAUUGGAGAGCUUCAACAAAUUACUCGUAUAGAUCCAUCGAUCUCUAUGGAAAUUGGUAAUGAAGAACUCGAAAGAGCUGAGUGCUUUGCAUGUUGGAAGCCGUUACUAGAUUCUGUGUACUUAUCUCCUGAUUGUGGAUUUUACCUACAUGCCAAAUGUGUUGAUCUACCUGCAGUCAAUCACCUUCCCCUCCAUGAACAUCCUCUUAUUUUACAGUUUAACAGUGAACUUCUCUAUUGCAAGAUAUGCCAAGAAACCCAACGUAGGGGAUUUGUUUAUUGUUGUUCAAUUUGCAAGUUUGCUCUUCACAUUGAAUGCGGGUCACCACCACCAAUUAUUGAAGAUAAAAGUCAUCAACACCCUUUCAUCCUAUUUUGGAGACGUGUCCCAUUCAUUUGUGAUGCAUGUGGCACUGAAGGGAAUUAUGUAUUCUACAUUUGUUCUACCUGCGGCAUUAUAGUCCAUAGGAAAUGCAUUUCAUUGCCGCGCACCCUUAAACACCCAUGGCAUUUUGAGCACCCCAUUUCCCACACCUAUUUCCUUGGGCAAGAUAAGUUUAAAUCAUGGGAAUGCAGAAUUUGCCAUCUAAAGGAUGUGAAUUCAAAGCAUGGAAG
rnacentral:lncRNA from 1 species